UACGUAGGGUGCAAGCGUUAAUCGGAAUUACUGGGCGUAAAGCGUGCGCAGGCGGUUUUGUAAGUCUGUCGUGAAAUCCCCGGGCUCAACCUGGGAAUUGCGAUGGAGACUGCAAGGCUAGAAUCUGGCAGAGGGGGGUAGAAUUCCACGUGUAGCAGUGAAAUGCGUAGAGAUGUGGAGGAAUACCGAUGGCGAAGGCAGCCCCCUGGGUCAAGAUUGACGCUCAUGCACGAAAGCGUGGGGAGCAAACCGG
rnacentral:rRNA from 1 species